rnacentral:rRNA from 1 species
AAUAGAUACCCCGGUAGUCCACGCCGUAAACGAUGAGUGCUAAGUGUUAGAGGGUUUCCGCCCUUUAGUGCUGCAGCUAACGCAUUAAGCACUCCGCCUGGGGAGUACGGCCGCAAGGCUGAAACUCAAAGGAAUUGACGGGGGCCCGCACAAGCGGUGGAGCAUGUGGUUUAAUUCGAAGCAGCGCGAAGAACCUUACCAGGUCUUGACAUCCUCUUGACCUCCCUAGAGAUAGGGAUUUCCCUUCGGGGACAAGAGUGACAGGUGGUGCAUGGUUGUCGUCAGCUCGUGUCGUGAGAUGUUGGGUUAAGUCCCGCAACGAGCGCAACCCUUGACCUUAGUUGCCAGCAUUCAGUUGGGCACUCUAAGGUGACUGCCGGUGACAAACCGGAGGAAGGUGGGGAUGACGUCAAAUCAUCAUGCCCCUUAUGACCUGGGCUACACACGUGCUACAAUGGAUGGUACAAAGGGCUGCAAGACCGCGAGGUUUAGCCAAUCCCAUAAAACCAUUCUCAGUUCGGAUUGUAGG